rnacentral:tRNA from 1 species
CACCGUGUAGUGUAGUGGUUAGCAAGCUCGACUCUCAAUCGAGAGGGCCGGGUUCGAGCCCCGGGGCGGCGA